GCAGUAAGGGAUUUUGGCAGGCGAAAACGAUCGCACCCGGGUCGAACAGAUCGACGGGGCGACAUAUCAGGUUGAUUGUAAAUUGUCCCGCCAAGGGAUGGCUACAUCGCCGAAUUUCUGAACUAAUGUCGCGACUGAUAUUUCCUUGGGAGUUCGACAUUGUCACUUCCUACGAAAAAAUUUUUAUACCUAGUAGUUUUACGCCUAUGUAUUCAGUGGUUAAUAUAGUUUAUUUUGCGCGCACUAUGUAAGGAGCAUAUAUGGAAAUAAAUAAUUCCAUCAAGGGGUCAUUAUUAGCAGCACACAGCGGUGGAUUGCGGGG
rnacentral:sRNA from 2 species